UACGUAGGGGGCAAGCGUUGUCCGGAUUUAUUGGGCGUAAAGAGCGUGUAGGCGGCCUGGUAGGUCAGCUGUGAAAACUCGAGGCUCAACCUCGAGACGUCGGUUGAAACCACUUGGCUAGAGUCCGGAAGAGGAGUGUGGAAUUCCCGGUGUAGCGGUGAAAUGCGCAGAUAUCGGGAAGAACACCCGUGGCGAAGGCGGCACUCUGGGACGGUACUGACGCUGAGACGCGAAAGCGUGGGGAGCGAACAGG
rnacentral:rRNA from 1 species